GGCCCCGUGGCUCAGUGGUAGAGCGUGUGAUUCCAGCGUCCCCAGAAAAAAGGCUGCUUCCACAAGGUCAUCCGUUCAAUCCGGGUCGGGGUCA
rnacentral:tRNA from 1 species